AACGACAAGGGUAGGUUGAGUAAGGAGGAGAUAGAGAAGAUGGUGAAGGAUGCAGAGAGGUACAAGGCAGAGGAUGAAGAGGUGAAGAAGAAGGUGGAGGCGAAAAACUCGCUCGAGAAUUAUGCUUACAACAUGAGGAACACGAUAAAGGAUGAGAAGAUAGGGGGGAAGUUGGGGGCGGAUGAUAAGCAGAAGAUUGAGAAGGCUGUGGAGGAUGCGAUUCAGUGGCUGGAGGGGAACCAGUUGGCGGAAGUGGACGAGCUUGAAGACAAGCUGAAGGAGUUGGAAGGAAUCUGCAACCCCAUCAUUGCCAAGAUGUAUCAGGGUGGUGCUGGUGGAGAUGUUCCUAUGGCUGAUGACAUGCCUGGUGGUGGGUCUGGUUCUGCUGCUGGAC
rnacentral:lncRNA from 1 species